UGGGGAAUAUUGCACAAUGGGCGAAAGCCUGAUGCAGCAACGCCGCGUGAGUGAUGAAGGCCUUCGGGUUGUAAAGCUCUGUCUUUUGGGACGAUAAUGACGGUACCAAAGGAGGAAGCCACGGCUAACUACGUGCCAGCAGCCGCGGUAAUACGUAGGUGGCAAGCGUUGUCCGGAUUUUACUGGGCGUAAAGGAUGCGUAGGCGGAUUUUUAAGUGAGAUGUGAAAAUCCCUAAGCUUAACUUGGGGACUGCAUUUCAUACUGGAAAUCUAGAGUGCGGGAGAGGAGAAUGGAAUUCCUAGUGUAGCGGUGAAAUGCGUAGAGAUUAGGAAGAACACCAGUGGCGAAGGCGAUUCUCUGGACCGUAACUGACGCUGAGGCAUGAAAGCGUGGGUAGCAAACAGGAUUAGAUACCCUGGUAGUCCACGCCGUAAACGAUGAGUACUAGGUGUAGGAGGUAUCGACCCCUUCUGUGCCGCAGUUAACACAAUAAGUACUCCGCCUGGGAAGUACGAUCGCAAGAUUAAAACUCAAAGGAAUUGACGGGGGUCAUAGCUGUUUUU
rnacentral:rRNA from 1 species